CGCGCUCGCGGUGGAGCGGGGGGGAGAAACGGAGAGAUCUAGGGGGUUUCCGCACCUCCCCUGGGCGAGGAGGAAGGGAAGCGGCGGAGGUGGUGGGUAUAGCGCGUCGCCGGCGGUGAGGCUACCGGGCGGUGUGGGGAAGCAGCAGCCGAGCCGAGCAGGAUGGAGGAAGCCAGCCAGGAGGAGGAGGGGGGAGCAAAAAGGCUAGGGUUUGGUGCCCUGUCUCCGCGUGUACAUCUCGCGUGUGCGCAUAGCGGCACCGCUCGUACGUGGCGUGCCGUGAUUGGCUACGGGAUGAGGUGCGGCCUGCAGAGGAAUAAAAAGGGAUGACACGUCGAAGGGGCUUUUUUGACCCGGGUCCACGUGUCGGCGUCGUGUGCUGCGAAUCGGGGUGAGGGGGCGUGGUCGACGAAGCGAAUAGAAGGCACGGCGGUGCCAGUGUGAGGACAAGUAGCCCCGUUCGGUGGGACGGACGGUAGUGUACACCGGACGGCACGAGAGGGCCGAGGCCUGGCUAUAGGUGGUGCUCGGUUGGUGGGUGGGUCCUGGGCCGGGGUGUCAGGGGGCUUGGAUGGAGCGUGGGCCCACUGGGUACGUUGGCGCUGAGUCGGACACGCCGGGAUCCGCGCACUGAUUCGGUCGGGGACCGAGGACAGCGCGGCGCGCCGCUGCCCGGGCUUCUUGGGCCAGGCACCUUUUGGUUUCGCAUGUUUCCUUCCAUGGGCCGCUUUCCCGCUGCCGGCUUCUACGGACUGGAACCUUGGCCUCUAAUUCCAGUCACUACAAAUCUAUGUAGGUGAAGUACCCGUCAACAAUGACAAGACGCACGUGGUGACAAUGGUUUUCUGAAUCUUUCAAAAUCUGCUCGUAUGGGUGUUCGCGUUCAUAGGGGUGAGCGUCUUCGUUUGUGUUAUGUUUCUCACAAAAAAAGCGAUGUAUCCAAUGCAAACCUUCAUCCUUUGUAAACUUGCGAACUAUUCACGAACCACCGGAUCUAAAAUGUGCAGUGCAGAUCAAAGGUGGGAAUCAAAAUUCAAAACAGCCACUUAAGCACUCUA